rnacentral:rRNA from 1 species
UACGUAGGGGGCAAGCGUUGUCCGGAUUUAUUGGGCGUAAAGAGCGUGUAGGCGGCCAAACAGGUCCACUGUGAAAACUCGAGGCUCAACCUCGAGAGGUCGGUGGAAACCGUCUGGCUAGAGUCCGGAAGAGGAGAGUGGAAUUCCCGGUGUAGCGGUGAAAUGCGCAGAUAUCGGGAAGAACACCCGUGGCGAAGGCGGCCUCUCGUGGGACGGUACUGACGCUGAGACG